GACGAACGCUGGCGGCGUGCUUAACACAUGCAAGUCGAGCGAUGAAACCCUUCGGGGUGAAUUAGCGGCGGACGGGUGAGUAACACGUGGGUAACCUGCCUCAAAGAGGGGAAUAGCCUCCCGAAAGGGAGAUUAAUACCGCAUAAUAUGUUUUGAUCGCAUGAUCUUAACAUCAAAGGAAUUUUCUUCGGAUUAUUUCACUUUUGAGAUGGACCCGCGGCGCAUUAGCUAGUUGGUGAGGUAAAGGCCCACCAAGGCAACGAUGCGUAGCCGACCUGAGAGGGUGAUCGGCCACAUUGGAACUGAGACACGGUCCAGACUCCUACGGGAGGCAG
rnacentral:rRNA from 1 species